GCACUGCUGAGGAGUCCCAUACUAGGACGAAACGGCUGUCCAGUUU
rnacentral:hammerhead_ribozyme from 1 species